rnacentral:tRNA from 1 species
AGACAAUUAGUCUUAACAAAAACACUUGAUUUCGGCUCAAGAACUCCUGGUUAGAGUCCAUGAUUGUCUA